AAAGUGGGUCAACGGCUACUGUGC
rnacentral:siRNA from 1 species